UAAGGGCUGAACUGGCAAUUUGGGUAAACGAAACAGAAUUGUAACUUACUAAAAUAAAGUUUUAAGUACGUAUUAAUAAUGAUAAUAUGUAUAAAAGUCUUGACCAAUUACGUGCCAGCAGUCGCGGUAAUACGUAGGAGACGAGCAUUAUUCAUAUUAAAUAGGUUUAAAGGGUACCCAAACGGUCAAAAUACCUGAAAUAUAGGAGUACUUGACUAGAGUUAUAUGUAAGAAGACCGUACUUGAGGUGGAGAGAUUAUAUUUUAUGAUACCAAAAGGACUGAUAACGGCGAAGGCUGUCUUUUAUGUAAUAACUGACGUUGAAGGACGAAGGCAUAGAUAACUAACAGGAUCUCGUUACCCUAGUAGUCUUUGCAGACAAUGAUGAAUGCCAUUAACUAGAUACUAAUUUUAGUUAUAUAAAUGAAAAUGAAAGCAUUUCACCUCAAGAGUAAUGUGGCAACGCAGGAACUGAAAUCACUAGACCGUUUCUGACACCAGUAGUGAAGUAUGUUAUUUAAUUCGAUGAU
rnacentral:rRNA from 1 species